AGUGAACGCUGGCGGUAGGCCUAACACAUGCAAGUCGAACGGCAGCACAGUAAGAGCUUGCUCUUACGGGUGGCGAGUGGCGGACGGGUGAGGAAUACAUCGGAAUCUACUUUUUCGUGGGGGAUAACGUAGGUAAACUUACGCUAAUACCGCAUACGACCUACGGGUGAAAGCAGGGGAUCUUCGGACCUUGCGCGAUUGAAUGAGCCGAUGUCGGAUUAGCUAGUUGGCGGGGUAAAGGCCCACCAAGGCGACGAUCCGUAGCUGGUCUGAGAGGAUGGUCAGCCACACUGGAACUGGGACACGGUCCAGACUCCUACGGGAGGCAGCAGUGGGGAAUAUUGGACAAUGGGCGCAAGCCUGAUCCAGCCAUACCGCGUGGGUGAAGAAGGCCUUCGGGUUGUAAAGCCCUUUUGUUGGGAAAGAAAAGCAGCAGGUUAAUACCCCGCUGUUCUGACGGUACCCAAAGAAUAAGCACCGGCUAACUUCGUG
rnacentral:rRNA from 1 species